rnacentral:lncRNA from 1 species
UUUUCCUCCGGAAGUGCGGCACCCAGAGGCCGUCCUGUAGCCGGGCCGGCUUGGGGCUUGGUUCUAUGUCCCUGCGGGUCGGUGCAAGGGCGAAGAGGAACCCGUGGGCCUCAGGGGAUCCCGGGGGGCCGGACCAGUGUUCCCUAGUUGUGGGAGCAGACGCGUGGGCACAUUGCGGGCGGGCAGGGCCUGAAGUGCAGCUAUGUUUCCAGUGUCCUCUGGGUGUUUCCAAGAGCAACAAGAAAUGAAUAAAUCUCUGG